GACCAAUUGGCUGACCAUGUCCAGGAAAAAGGCCUCUGGUUUCUUCAAAAAGGGUAUAUUUAAAUACCUUUUUCAUUUCGUUAUGAAUCAUCUCCCAAAGUGUCUUAAUCCUUGGGCAUGUCCACCAAAGGUGAACUCUAAUCUUCAAAUUCGUCUGUUUUUCUUUAAGUUCAGUCAUAGCAAGCGUCAACUUAUGUUCAUCAAAUUGCCUCUGUAGGGCUGGGGCUCUCUUUCUCUUUCUCUCCAGUUGUGUUACUUUACAUUCAGCAACAACAGCUUUUUCCCUGGCUUCCUCCGCAGUUUGCCAUAUCAAAGUAGGUUCCUGUAUCAACUUCUGGGUGGUUUCUGUAUUGGUAUUAUUUAUACUUUCUGUAUUUAGGUUAAUUUUAGUAAUUGAAACAUCCACUUUCGCAUUUAUCGUGUCCAUUUUCCUGUUAAGCUGAUCCAAUGAGUCAUUUAUCUUAUAUAAUGCAACCACUAAAGCCUCUUCUGUCGACAUUCCUCUUGGUUUUAAAUAUACUGAUACAAAGGCAGCAACAGAAGGAGCAGGGGGGCCUGAUGAUGGACCUCUUCUGGAUUGUUGCCAAGUCCUCCCAGACCUUAAUGUUUUGUCAGCAGUUGACUGGUCUGUUUUUCCUCUUCCAUUUACCAUAACACUUAAAAGAUUCAAGGUCAGCCCCAGAGUCUCACGAUUUUUAACUUGCAGCUGGAAAUUCCCCUAGCCCAGCUCUUGUAAAACAACCGGUUUCAAAGGCUUCCACUAGGGGGAAACAGUUUCUAUUUGUAAUAGUCUGUCUAUGUAUUUCUAAUACAGUGGUACCUCGGGUUAAGAACUUAAUUCGUUCUGGAGGUCCGUUCUUAACCUGAAACUGUUCUUAAGCUGAAGCACCACUUUAGCUAAUGGGGCCUCCCGCUGCCACCGUGCCACUGCCACAUGAUUUCUGUUCUCACCCUGAAGCAAAGUUCUUAACCUGAAGCACUAUUUCUGGGUUAGCGGAGUCUGUAACCUGAAGCGUCUGUAACCUGAAGCGUCUGUAACCCGAGGUACCACUGUAUAGUAUAACCAAAUCAGUAAUGCUUGAUAUAACUAUAAAAACUACUCUGAAAAUUUAUUAUUCCAAAAAUGAAACCUUCAUCUGGUUGUAAAUAUUAAGAUUAUACCAGCAAGAAUGAAUCUUUCUGUAAAAAAAAAUAAUGAUUUAAAUCAAGUCUUACUGACUAGUGAUUUAAAUCGAUUUGAUUUAAAUCAAAUCCACCCUGGUCUCCAGCCACUGUGUUUGUCUGCAAGGGAUUCCUACAGGGCAGGGUUGUUGUUUUUUUGUUUUUUUUGCAGAAGUGGAUAAAAUUUGCAGGCAUGUUUGACUUGUUACAGGGGUUGUAACCUAUCAAAUUUCAAAAAGUGUCGUUUUCCUGCACUGGCAGCCUUUAUAGUUUUGAGGUAGGGGGGAAAUCGCCAGUUCUCCGUAGAGCACGUCCUUGGGGAGCCUACCAUCUUCCAUUCUUUGGACAUGACCAAGCCAGUGUAGACAUGUCCGGGACAGGAGCGUGAACAUGCUGGGAAUGUGAGCUUGGGAGAGCGCAUUUUGUUUGAAAUUCUGUCCUGUCAUUUGAUUCCCAAAAUCCUCCUAAUGCAGUUCAUGUGGAAAGUGUUGAAGCAUAUGGUAGGUGUGGUUUUACCUUUAAACACACAUAUGCUAUCUUGAAAACAAAUGCCUCAGAAGACUGUAAUGGAUGUAUUCUCAAAUCACUUAUGUCACAUAAAAUGUGACAUAUUCUGCCUUCACCCUGUCUCUUUCCUCAUAUUCCUGUACCUUUACCAAGAAGAGGGACUUGAUGGUUGUGGCUCUGAUUAUGCAACAGCCUGCUUGGCACCAUCUUUGCGAUACCACAUGUUUGUUCAUUCAGGCCUUUGAAAUAGCUUGUGUCCUGUGGUCUGGACACAUCUAUGUCAUACAUUUAAAGUAUACAUAUACCACUUUAACAGUCAUGGCUUCCUCCAAAGAAUUAUGGGAAGUUGGAUCCUCCUAACAGAGGGUCCAUGUUGUGCUCGGCCCUGAAAUUCUUCCCUAACCAGCUUGUGGGCGGGGCUUGCCCUGCUCCAAGCCAGUGGUGCCACAGUUAUGCCAAUGGCCUUUAGCCAAUCAGCAGCAUGGCAAGGUUGGGGGUUGGGGAUAUCUAUUUGGCAGCGCGACGUAGGGACCUCCUUUUGCUUCGCAUGGCUGAACACCCGCCCACCCACCCGUUAAUUAGGUCGUGUUUGGCCUUGCUUUGGACUUUGGUUGGUCACCUGUUUUGGAAUGGGGGCCAGGUAGGAAUUUUUUCCAAUGUGGCAGAUUGGCUAUGGCCACUUGGUUUUUGCCUACCUCUUAGCAAUCGUCACAACUUUGUAAGGUUUGGCAGUUAGGCAUUGGUUUAGGGGAAUGUGGGGAGGGGAGGUGCAGCCAUCACCUGCCCUCCAAUGAAUAGGGUAUUCCGUUAAAUGAAUCUGGGGGUCCGGAUAUCGUCCGAAGCCCAGACAGGGGCUAGGGCCAUGCCAGGACCCCCAGGAACCCCAGGGGUGAGCACCAGUCAAUAUACACUGACGGAGAUCCCCCUGCUGGUUGUUUACCCUUCCAGGCUUCCUGCAGGGUGGGGCAGGAGCCAGAUAUAGUUUGAUACCAGUGUCUAAGCUAAUACCAGUCACAUUUGUGUAUUCAAUAAAGUUGUGCCCAAAAUUUGCCCAUUAACAUUUAAACUAAAUACUGUCUCCACUGUGUCUUUAUUUCAGGAUGGGUUUGGGGGCUCGAAGCACAAAUAUAAAACAUGCAGGG
rnacentral:lncRNA from 1 species